rnacentral:ncRNA from 1 species
GCGAUGAAGCGGGAGGUUGCGGCCCUUGCGGCCGGUUUUUCCGUGGAGUAUGUCCGAUUUGAAACCGGGCGA